UACAGAGGUCUCAAGCGUUGUUCGGAUUCAUUGGGCGUAAAGGGCGCGUAGGCUGCGGGGUAAGUCGGGUGUGAAAUCUCAGAGCUCAACUCUGAAAACUGCACUCGAUACUGCUUUGCUUGAGGACUGGAGAGGAGAUUGGAAUUCACGGUGUAGCAGUGAAAAUGCGUAGAUAUCGUGAGGAAGACCAGUGGCGAAGGCGGAUCUCUGGACAGUUCCUGACGCUGAGGCACGAAGGCCAGGGGAGCAAACGGG
rnacentral:rRNA from 1 species